GGGCGUCUAACUUUCUUCCUUCUCCUAUCUGAGAGUCCUUCCAAGAGAGGUUGCUAGUCUUUUCUGCUUCUAGUGUGUAUUGUUUCCUGCAUACACAAGAAACACACCCUAAAAGCACUUUUAAAGAAAAUAAAACAAAAUAGAAUAAAAACAAAUAAUUACAAACAAGUCAAAUGUCAAUCAAUUCACACUACUAAAAAUAACCUCGAGUCCCUGACAACGGCGCCAAAAACUUGUUGACUCACUGGCAAGUGUACCAGAUCGUGCAAGUAAUAUAAUCGGUAAAGCCCGAUAUCGUUCUUCCCAAGAGACUCGAAAGGAUCGUUCGUGUGAAUUAAAAUCGUAAGACUUGUAGAAAAAGAUUUAAUUGUUGUCAAUGCAAAGACAGAAAAUAAACAUGCAAUGUNUUUGAUUCAAUUGACGAAAAAGACUAUGGAUGAAUGGAGUUGUUGGGGGUUUACAAUUUCAUCUUAUUCACUCCCUCUUAUCUACUCCUCUUGUUUAAUGUGCUUGAUUAUCUAAUUGUUAUGCAAACUUUCUUGGCCUACCCUUAACCCGAUCCCUCGACGAAAAGAGCUUAUUACUAAUUAUCGGCUUGUUAUCCCUAUCCUUCCCUAGCAAUUAAUAAUGCAUUAAGAACAGAAGCAAAAACAAUUGAUCNUCCUACCCCCUAUCCCUAGGUUGGUAUUGCUUAAUCAAGGAAUUUCUCACCAGUUCAUGACAGUACUGUACGUUCCCGUAUCAAUAGAGACAAACAACAGUUAUCGAAUGAGUUAAACGAUAAAAGCAUUAAGCGCAGAUGAGAACCCAACAAUUGAUAAUUAAAGCAUAUGAAGAAUCAUAUAAAUAAACAAGAGUUUAAAUAAAAGAGAGUUUCAAAAGAUUACAUUGUUUCCCCCAACAACAAAAGGGUUUAGUUCACCAUUGUCAUGGUGAACUUAGAUGAAAAAUAAUGGAAGAAUGGAAAAGCAAACCCUAGAUAAGAUGAAAAGGAGUCUAAGCAUCCAAGAGAUCCUCUCCAGAGAGUGAAAAUUAGGUCUGCCUGUCCUCUUCUGUCAAAAGAAUGAGAAUGAAAUCGUAACAGGGCUAUUUAUAGCUGAGGAGCGUCACAGAAAACAGGCCCAGGCCCAGCGUACAAUCGCCCGACGGCACACUUAUGCCGCCCGGCGGUUUGCCUCUAAUCGCACCACCGCCCGGCGGUUUGCCUCUAAUCGCAAAUCCGCCCAACGCCCACGCCAGGUGCCUUCUCCUCGCCUUGGACCGCGCGACGGUGAAUUUUGUUGCCGGGCGGUUUCUUGACUCUUCUUUUCUUCAAUUUUCUUCCUCUAUCUUGAGUCUGAGACCUUCAUCUUCAACCCCAAUCUUCACUUUCAUCAAAAUCACUACAAAACAAUGCAAAACAAGCAUAAUAUCGCUAAAAACAGUUUUUGACUCUUGAUUGACUCAUUUAUUGAGUUUUACUUGAUUCUAAGCUCGUUCUAAGUCUUAAAGGGUGUAAUUUGGUCUAAAUUGACAUAUGAAAAUAAUUGUUU
rnacentral:lncRNA from 1 species